rnacentral:rRNA from 1 species
AAUAUUGGACAAUGGGCGAAAGCCUGAUCCAGCCAUGCCGCGUGUGUGAAGAAGGUCUUCGGAUUGUCAAGCACUUUAAGUUGGGAGGAAGGGCAGUAAGUUAAUACCUUGCUGUUUUGACGUUACCGACAGUAUAAGCACCGGCUAACUUAGUGCCAGCAGCCGCGGUAAUACGAAGGGUUCAAGCGUUAAUCGGAAUUACUGGGCGUAAAGCGGCGGUAGGUGGUUUGUCAAGUUGGAUGUGAAAGCCCCGGGCUCAACCUGGGAACUGUUUUCAAAACUGGCAAGCUAGGGUAUGGCAGAGGGUGGUGGAAUUUCCUGUGUAGCGGUGAAAUGCGUAGAUAUAGGAAGGAACAUCAGUGGCGAAGGCGACCACCUGGGCUAAUACUGACACUGAGGUGCGAAAGCGUGGGGAGCAAAC